rnacentral:rRNA from 1 species
CCCAGGAGCCACAAGUGGCAACCACCUUUAUUGGGCCUAAAGCGUCCGUAGCCGGUUUUGUAAAUUUUCUGUGAAAUCGUUGCGCUUAACGUAACGGCGUGCAGAAAACACUGCAAGACUUGGGACCGGGAGGAGUUGGAGGUAUUCUGGGGGGAGCGGUAAAAUGCUAUAAUCCCCGGAGGACCACCUGUGGCGAAGGCGUCCAACUAGAACGGAUCCGACGGUGAGGGACGAAAGCUAGGGGAGCAAUCCGG